CGUAACAAGGUCUCCGUAGGUGAACCUGCGGAGGGAUCAUUACACAAAUAUGAAGGCGGGCUGGAACCUCUCGGGGUUACAGCCUUGCUGAAUUAUUCACCCUUGUCUUUUGCGUACUUCUUGUUUCCUUGGCGGGUUCGCCCACCACUAGGACAAACAUAAACCUUUUGUAAUUGCAAUCAGCGUCAGUAACAAAUUAAUAAUUACAACUUUCAACAACGGAUCUCUUGGUUCUGGCAUCGAUGAAGAACGCAGCGAAAUGCGAUAAGUAGUGUGAAUUGCAGAAUUCAGUGAAUCAUCGAAUCUUUGAACGCACAUUGCGCCCUUUGGUAUUCCAAAGGGCAUGCCUGUUCGAGCGUCAUUUGUACCCUCAAGCUUUGCUUGGUGUUGGGCGUCUUGUCUCUAGCUUUGCUGGAGACUCGCCUUAAAGUAAUUGGCAGCCGGCCUACUGGUUUCGGAGCGCAGCACAAGUCGCACUCUCUAUCAGCAAAGGUCUAGCAUCCAUUAAGCCUUUUUUUCAACUUUUGACCUCGGAUCAGGUAGGGAUACCCGCUGAACUUAAGCAUAUCA
rnacentral:rRNA from 1 species